UGGGGAAUAUUGCACAAUGGGCGCAAGCCUGAUGCAGCCAUGCCGCGUGUGUGAAGAAGGCCUUCGGGUUGUAAAGCACUUUCAGCGAGGAGGAAGGUGGUGAGCUUAAUACGCUCAUCAAUUGACGUUACUCGCAGAGGAAGCACCGGCUAACUCCGUGCCAGCAGCCGCGGUAAUACGGAGGGUGCAAGCGUUAAUCGGAAUUACUGGGCGUAAAGCGCACGCAGGCGGUUUGUUAAGUCAGAUGUGAAAUCCCCGGGCUCAACCUGGGAACUGCAUUUGAAACUGGCAAGCUAGAGUCUCGUAGAGGGGGGUAGAAUUCCAGGUGUAGCGGUGAAAUGCGUAGAGAUCUGGAGGAAUACCGGUGGCGAAGGCGGCCCCCCUGGACGAAGACUGACGCUCAGGUGCG
rnacentral:rRNA from 1 species